CAUCGAUAUGGCUGCAAGACUGUUUGCGAUUCCCCAUGAAAUCCAAAUAUGGAAAUCAAAAGGCUUGAAGUAGAUACUGUUGGCAUACACACAACCAUAGAGUUCAUCUUCAGAACCAAAUCCACGUUCUUGAAAAUAUGAGGAGGGUGCUGCUGGAAGAACAACAAUCGCUCAUCGUGAUGGCUGCCCACCAUGGUGACCGUAGAAACUAGCAUAGAAAAAAGUAGAUAUCUCAAGUGACUUUGUUCAUUUACGUUGGGAUAGACAAGUAACUACCUUUUCUAUUUUAGUUUCUAUGGUCACUUUGGUGGCAGCCAUGAUAGACAGAAACAAAGGCUCACCGAUGAAACCCAGGACUUGCUCUACUUCAAGCUUAUUGUUUUCUAUAUUCUGGAUUUCCUGAGGAAUCACUAGUAGUCGUUCAGCGAUAUCCAUG
rnacentral:pre_miRNA from 1 species